GCGCCGGUAGCUCAGCUGGAUAGAGCGUCGCACUACGGAUGCGAAGGUCGGGAGUUCGAAUCUUCCCCGGCGUA
rnacentral:tRNA from 2 species